AUUGAACGCUGGCGGCAGGCCUUACACAUGCAAGUCGAACGAGUGGCGGACGGGUGAGUAAUGUCUGGGAAACUGCACGAUGGAGGGGGAUAACUACUGGAAACGGUAGCUAAUACCGCAUACCAUCGGAUGUGCCCAGAUGGGAUUAGCUAGUAGGGGGGGUAAAGGCGCACCUAGGCGACGAUCCCUAGCUGGUGUGAGAGGAUGACCAGCCACACUGGACGUGAGACACGGUCCAGAAUCAUACGGGAGGAAGCAGUGGGGAAUAGUGCACAAUGGGCGCAAGCCUGAUGCAGCCUUGCCGCGUGUAUGAAGAAGGCCUUCGGGUUGUAAAGUACUGUCAGCGGGGAGGCGGUACCCGCAGAAUAAGCACCGGCUAACUCCGUGCCAGCAGCCGCGGUAAUUC
rnacentral:rRNA from 1 species